AGAGUUUGAUCAUGGCUCAGAACGAACGCUGGCGGCAGGCUUAACACAUGCAAGUCGAACGGGCGUAGCAAUACGUCAGUGGCAGACGGGUGAGUAACACGUGGGAACCUUCCUCGUAGUACGGGACAACUCAGGGAAACUUGAGCUAAUACCGUAUACGUCCGAGAGGAGAAAGAUUUAUCGCUAUGAGACGGGCCCGCGUCCGAUUAGGUAGUUGGUGGGGUAACGGCCUACCAAGCCGACGAUCGGUAGCUGAUCUGAGAGGAUGAUCAGCCACACUGGGACUGAGACACGGCCCAGACUCCUACGGGAGGCAGCAGUGGGGAAUCUUGGACAAUGGGCGCAAGCCUGAUCCAGCCAUGCCGCGUGAGUGAAGAAGGCCUUAGGGUUGUAAAGCUCUUUUGCCAGGGACGAUAAUGACGGUAC
rnacentral:rRNA from 1 species